GGGGCUGAUUCUGGAUUCGACGGGAUUUGCGAAACCCAAGGUGCAUGCCGAGGGGCGGUUGGCCUCGUAAAAAGCCGCAAAAAAAUAGUCGCAAACGACGAAAACUACGCUUUAGCAGCUUAAUAACCUGCUUAGAGCCCUCUCUCCCUAGCCUCCGCUCUUAGGACGGGGAUCAAGAGAGGUCAAACCCAAAAGAGCUCGCGCGGAUGCCCUGCCUGGGGUUGAAGCGUUAAAACGAAUCAGGCUAGUCUGGUAGUGGCGUGUCCGUCCGCAGGUGCCAGGCGAAUGUAAAGACUGACUAAGCAUGUAGUACCGAGGAUGUAGGAAUUUCGGACGCGGGUUCAACUCCCGCCAGCUCCACCA
rnacentral:tmRNA from 2 species